AGGGCAGUCUGUAACUGACAACACCAGCAGUAAUUACUGAGGAGACACUCUGUAAGGAUAGGCUUUGUUUUGUUGUCUUCAAAUACCAAAGGCAAAUAAUGAAGUGUUUACGAGAAGUGAAAGAUCAUCCCUCACUCAUGUUCAUGUUAAUGAAUUCCUGCAUAAGUAAAAGAGAUAAUCUAAGCUAUUGAGUAAAUAUGAACAAGUUCCAAAUAAGGAUCCCAGAGAAAUGGCGGUGUCGGUGCAGUGAAGAGGAGAGGAGGGAACAAUAGCCUGAAUUCCAGCCAUUUUUUUGUUCUCCUGGUCAACCAUAAGGAUGAAACUGAGUUCCAGUACAGCUUGGAAAAGACAUUUGUUUUAAACUUACAAAUGUGCCACAAAUCCCUUUCUUAGGAUCUUAACCAUGUCAAGGAAAGAGAAAUACAUGUUGCUGGAAGAGGAGCUGUCUUGCUUUUUAGUGAAAUUAUGCAGCUGCAAUCAUGUUACCUCAAACUCAAUUUCCAAAGGACACAAUGUGUGAAAAAGAUCACACAUCAUAGGACAAAAUCUGUUACACCUAUAUUUCUAAAAGAUAUUAGGGGUGUGAGAGGGUCAGAAGAAAGGAAGAUCUUUCUGGUCCAGGCUAUAGACAGAGGAUCAAUUCACUAGAUGCUUGCCCAAAGCUUCCUAAAGUAUGAAGUUUCAUGAUAUUGCUUCAAAUUUUUAUGGGUUCAUCUUUAAAAAAAAAAAAAAAGUUUGGCUGUGUCCCCAACCAAAUCUCAUUUUGAAUUGUAACUCCAAUAAUUCCCAUGUGUCAUGGGAGGAACCCAGUGGGGAGUGAUUGAAUUAUGUAGGUGGGUCUUUCCUGCACUGUUAUGAUAGUGAAUGAGUCUCACAAGCUCUGAUGAUUUGAUAAGGGGAAACCCACUUCACUUGGCUCUCAUUCUUUUCUCUUGUCUGCUGCCAUGUGAAAUGUGCCUUUCACCUUCCACCAUGACUGUGAGGCCUCCCAGCCAUGUGGAACUGUAAGUCCAAUAAACCUCUGUCUUUUGUAAAUUGCCCAGUCUCGGGUAUGUUUCUAUUAGAAGUGUGAAAAUGGACUAAUACAGUCAAUUGGUACCAGUAGAGUGGGGUGUUGCUGAAAAAGAUACAUGAAAAUGUGGAUGCAACUUUGGAACUGGGUAACAGGCGGAGGUUGGAACAGGUUGGAGGGCUCAGAAGAAGAGAGGGAAAUUUGGAAAAGUUUGGAACUUCCUAGAGACUUGAAUGACUUUGACAAAAAUGCUUACAGUGAUAUGAACAAUAAGGUCCAGGCUGAGGUGGUCUCAGAUGGAGAUGAGAAACUUGUUGGGGACUAGAGCAAAGGUGACUCUUGUUAUGUUUUAGCAAAGAGACUGGCAGCAUUUUGCCCCUGCCCUAAAGAUCUGUGGAACUUUGAACUUGAGAUGAUUUAAGGUAUCUGGCAGAAGAAAUUUCUAAGCAGCAAAGCAUUAAAGAGGUGACUUGGGUGCUGUUAAAGGCAUUCAGUUUUAUAAGGGAAACAGAGCAUGAAAGUUUGGAAAAUUUGCAGCCUGCCAAUGUGAUAGAAAAGAAAAUCCCAUUUUCUGAGGAGAAAUUCAAACUGGCUGCAGAAAUUUGCAUAAGUAAUGAAGAACCAAAUGUUAAUUCCCAAGACAAUGGGGAAAAUGUCUCCAGGGCAGGUCAAAGGUCUUCACAGCAGCCCCUCCCAUCACAGGCCCAGAGGCCUAGGAGGAAAAAGUGGUUUUGUGGGCUGGGACCAGGGUCCCUGUGCUGUGUUCAGCCUAUUGACUUGGUGCCCUGUAUCCCAGCCUCUCCAGCCAAGGCUGAAAGGGACUAAUGUAGAACUCAGGCCAUGGCUUCAGAAGGUACAAGCCCCAAGACUUGGCAGAUACUACAUGGUAUUGAGCCUGUGAGUGCACUGAAGUCAAGAAUUGGGCUUUGGGAAUCUCCACCUAGAUUUCAGAGGAUGUAUGAAAAUGCCUGGAUGUCCAGGCAGAAGUUUGCUACAGGGGUGGGGCCCUCAUAGAGAUCCCCUGCUAGGGCAGUGUGAAAGGGAAAUGUGGGUUUGGAACCUCCACACAGAGUCCCUACUGGGGCACCACCUAGUGGAGCUGUGAGAAGAGAGCCACCAUCUUCCAGACCCCAGAAUGGCCGAUCUACUGACAGCUUGCACUGUGCACCUGGAAAAGCCACAGACAAUCAAUGCCAGUCCAUGAAAGCAGCUGGGAGGGAGGCUGUACCCAGCAGAGCCACAGGGACAGAGCUGCCCAGGACCAUGGGAACCCACGUUUUGCAUCAGCAUGAUACAGACGCAAGACAUGGAGUCAAAGGAGAUCAUUUUGGAGCUUUAAGAUUUGACUGCCCCACUGGAUUUCAGACUUGCGUGGGGCCAGUAGCCCCUUUGUUUUAGCCAAUUUCUUCCAUUUGAAAUGGCUGUAUUUACCCAAUGCCUGUAUCCCCAUUGUAUCUAAGAAGUAACUAACUUGCUUUUGAUUUUACAGGAUCAUAGGUGGAAGGGACUUGCCUUGUCCCAGAUGAAACACUGGACUGUAGACUUUUGAGUUAAUGCUGAAAUGAGUUAAGACUUUGGGGGCUGUUGGCAAGACAUGAUGCUUUUGAAAUGUGACAACAUUAGAUUUGGGAGGGGCUGGGGUGGAAUCAUAUGGUUUGGCUGUGCCCCCACCCAAAUCUCUUCUGGAAUUUUUACUCCCAUAAUUCCCACAUGUUGUGGGAGGAACCUGGUAGGAGGUGACUGAAUUAUGGGGGUGAGUCUUUCCUGCACUGUUCUCAUGAUAGUGAAUGAGUCUCACAAGAUCUGAAGGUUUAAUAAGGGGAAACCCAUUUCGCUUAGCUCUCAUUCUCCUCUUGUCUGCCGCCACAUGAGAUGUGCCCUUCACCUUCCACCAUGAUUGUGAGGCCUACUCAGCCAUGUGGAACAGUAAGUCCAAUAAACCUCU
rnacentral:lncRNA from 10 species